rnacentral:miRNA from 1 species
CCCCGCCACCGCCUUGG